AAAAAUACAGCAGUGCAAAGUUUCACUAAUAUGGCAAAAAACAUACAAACAUGUUUGUUUCCUCUACAUCUAUUCCAUAUUGAUCAACACACACCAAAUCAAACCCUAAUUUCUUCACCAUAAAAUCCAUAGUAACAAAGGACAAAGAGGAUCAGAAGACAAAAACCCUAGCAGUCAUCCUAUUCCCACACAUCAGAAGCAAAAACCCUAACCACUUAGAACAAUUAAACCUAACUCAUUUGUCUCACACAACAAAUAGUACAAAAACAUCAUUAAAAAG
rnacentral:lncRNA from 1 species